rnacentral:rRNA from 1 species
GAUGAACGCUGGCGGCGUGCCUAAUACAUGCAAGUCGAGCGAACAGACGAGGAGCUUGCUCCUCUGACGUUAGCGGCGGACGGGUGAGUAACACGUGGAUAACCUACCUAUAAGACUGGGAUAACUUCGGGAAACCGGAGCUAAUACCGGAUAAUAUAUUGAACCGCAUGGUUCAAUAGUGAAAGACGGUUUUGCUGUCACUUAUAGAUGGAUCCGCGCCGCAUUAGCUAGUUGGUAAGGUAACGGCUUACCAAGGCGACGAUGCGUAGCCGACCUGAGAGGGUGAUCGGCCACACUGGAACUGAGACACGGUCCAGACUCCUACGGGAGGCAGCAGUAGGGAAUCUGCCGCAAUGGGCGAAAGCCUGACGGAGCAACGCCGCGUGAGUGAUGAAGGUCUUGGAUCGUAAAACUCUGUUAUUAGGGAAGAACAAAUGUGUAAGUAACUAUGCACGUCUUGACGGUACCUAAUCAGAAAGCCACGGCUAACUACGUG